GACGAACGCUGGCGGCGUGCUUAACACAUGCAAGUCGAACGGAAAGGCCCUGCUUUUGUGGGGUGCUCGAGUGGCGAACGGGUGAGUAACACGUGAGUAACCUGCCCUUGACUUUGGGAUAACUUCAGGAAACUGGGGCUCAUACCGGAUAGGAGCUCCUGCUGCAUGGUGGGGGUUGGAAAGUUUCGGCGGUUGGGGAUGGACUCGCGGCUUAUCAGCUUGUUGGUGGGGUAGUGGCUUACCAAGGCUUUGACGGGUAGCCGGCCUGAGAGGGUGACCGGCCACAUUAGGACUGAGAUACGGCCCAGACUCCUACGGGAGGCAGCAGUGGGGAAUAUUGCACAAUGGGCGGAAGCCUGAUGCAGCAACGCCGCGUGCGGGAUGACGGCCUUCGGGUUGUAAACCGCUUUCGCCUGUGACGAAGCGUGAGUGACGGUAAUGGGUAAAGAAGCACCGGCUAACUACGUG
rnacentral:rRNA from 1 species